rnacentral:rRNA from 1 species
UGUUCGUUAUUUAGGGCGCAUGGUGGAUGCCUUGGCAUGCUGAGCCGAUGAAGGACGUGAAAGGCUGCGUUAAGCCUCGGGGAGUUGUCAAUUGAGCGUUGAUCCGAGGAUGUCCGAAUGGGGAAACCUGGCACCUGUUAUGGGGUGUUACCCUUCAGUGAAUUCAUAGCUGUUGUGGGGGUUACGCGGGGAAGUGAAACAUCUCAGUACCCGUAGGAGAAGAAAAUAAUAAUGAUUCUGCUAGUAGUGGCGAACGAACGUGGAUGAGGCUAAACCGUGUGCAUGUGAUACCUGGUAGGGGUUGUGUGUGCGGUGUUGUGGGCCCUGAUGAGGAUGGCUACUGACGUCCUGCCCGCGCAUUGUUGUUAGGUGAAGUGGUGUGGAAACGCCUGCCGUAGAAGGUGAUAGUCCUGUAGCUGAAGAUGAUGGUGUGUGGGUUGUUGGGUUGCCCGAGUAGCAGCGGGCUCGUGGAAUCUGCUGUGAAUCUGCCGGGACCACCCGGUAAGCCUAAAUACUCAGUGUGACCGAUAGUGGAUAGUACCGUGAGGGAAUGGUGAAAAGUACCCCGGGAGGGGAGUGAAAUAGUUCCUGAAACCAUGUGCUUACAAUCCGUCAGAGCACUUUUUGUGUGUGAUGGCGUGCCUUUUGAAGAAUGAGCCUGCGAGUCAGCGGCAUGUCGCGAGGUUAACCCGUGUGGGGUAGCCGUAGGGAAACCGAAUCCUAAUGGGGUGUUUAGUGGCAUGUCCUGGACCCGAAGCGGGGUGAUCUACCCAUGGCCAGUGUGAAGCAGCAGUAAGAUGCUGUGGAGGCGCGAACCCACGUAGGUUGAAAACUGCGGGGAUGAGCUGUGGGUAGGGGUGAAAGGCCAAUCAAACUCCGUGAUAGCUGGUUCUCCCCGAAAUGCAUUUAGGUGCAGCGUCGCAUUAGCUUGGUGGAGGUAGAGCUACUGGUUGGUUGAGCGGGACUACAAUCUUAGCAAUGUCAGCCAAACUCCGAAUGCCAUUAAUGUGUUGUGCGGCAGUGAGACUG